AUGUUGUGAUGUGGACAGUUAAGAAGCAACGUAUUGAAGUGGUCCCACGCUUCAAAGGAAAGAUCUCCAUCUCUUUGUUGGAACGAUUGAAGCUCCUUUCUAAGCUG